rnacentral:tRNA from 1 species
GCCCGAGUGGUGAAAUUGGUAGACACAAGGGAUUUAAAAUCCCUCGACGUUCGCGUCGUGCCGGUUCGAUUCCGGCCUCGGGCACCA